UACGAAGGGGGCUAGCGUUGCUCGGAAUCACUGGGCGUAAAGCGCACGUAGGCGGCUUACUAAGUCAGGGGUGAAAUCCUGGAGCUCAACUCCAGAACUGCCUUUGAUACUGGUGAGCUUGAGUCCGGAAGAGGUGAGUGGAACUGCGAGUGUAGAGGUGAAAUUCGUAGAUAUUCGCAAGAACACCAGUGGCGAAGGCGGCUCACUGGUCCGGUACUGGCGCUGAGGUGCGAAAGCGUGGGGAGCAAACAGG
rnacentral:rRNA from 1 species